UCUCCAGCUGUUUUUGGACUACAGUUCCCAUCAUCCCUAGCUAAUGGGGCCAGUGGUCAGGGAUGAUGGGAGUUGUAGUCCAAAAACAGCUGGAGA